GACGAACCGUGCGAACGUUAUUCGGAAUCACUGGGCUUAAAGCGCGUGUAGGCGGGAGGGCACGUCCGUCGCUGAAAUCCCCCGGCUCAACCGGGGAACGGGCGCGGAUACGACCUUCCUGGAGGGGCGUAGGGGGACCUGGAACUUCCGGUGGAGCGGUGAAAUGCGUUGAGAUCGGAAGGAACGCCCGUGGCGAAAGCGAGGUCCUGGACGCCUACUGACGCUGAGACGCGGAAGCCAGGGGAGCGAACGGG
rnacentral:rRNA from 1 species